GAUGAACGCUGGCGGCGUGCCUAAUACAUGCAAGUCGAGCGAACAGACGAGGAGCUUGCUCCUCUGACGUUAGCGGCGGACGGGUGAGUAACACGUGGAUAACCUACCUAUAAGACUGGGAUAACUUCGGGAAACCGGAUCUAAUACCGGAUAAUAUAUUGAACCUCAUGGUUCAAUAGUGAAAAACGGUUUUGCUGUCACUUAUAGAUGGUUCCGCGCCGCAUUAGCUAGUUGGUAAGGUAACGGCUUACCAAGGCAACGAUGCGUAGCCGACCUGAGAGGGUGAUCGGCCACACUGGAACUGAGACACGGUCCAGACUCCUACGGGAGGCAGCAGUAGGGAAUCUUCCGCAAUGGGCGAAAGCCUGACGGAGCAACGCCGCGUGAGUGAUGAAGGUCUUCGGAUCGUAAAACUCUGUUAUUAGGGAAGAACAAAUGUGUAAGUAACUAUGCACGUCUUGACGGUACCUAAUCAGAAAGCCACGGCUAACUACGUG
rnacentral:rRNA from 1 species